GACGGAGGAUGCAAGUGUUAUCCGGAAUCAUUGGGCGUAAAGCGUCUGUAGGUGGUUUAAUAAGUCAACUGUUAAAUCUUGAGGCUCAACUUCAAAAUCGCAGUCGAAACUAUUAGACUAGAGUAUAGUAGGGGUAAAGGGAAUUUCCAGUGGAGCGGUGAAAUGCGUAGAGAUUGGAAAGAACACCAAUGGCGAAAGCACUUUACUGGGCUAUCACUGACACUGAGAGACGAAAGCUAGGGUAGCAAAUGGG
rnacentral:rRNA from 1 species